rnacentral:rRNA from 1 species
GUCUACAACCAUACCACCCUAAACAUACCCAAUCUUGUCUGGUCUCUGAAGCUAAGCAGGGUGAGUCCUGAUUAGUAUUUGGAUGGAAGACAGAUCUUUAGAAGAGACU